UACAUGGGGUGCAAACGUUGCUCGGAAUUAUUGGGCGUAAAGCGCGCGUAGGCGGUUACUCAAGUCGGAUGUGAAAGCCCUCGGCUUAACUGAGGAAGUGCACCCGAAACUGAGUAGCUAGAGUACUAAAGAGGGUCGCGGAAUUCCCGGUGUAGAGGUGAAAUUCGUAGAUAUUCGGAAGAACACCAGUGGCGAAGGCGGCUCACUGGACCGGUAUUGACGCUGAGGUGCGAAAGCGUGGGGAGCAAAUAGG
rnacentral:rRNA from 1 species